rnacentral:lncRNA from 1 species
UAGAGGCAGCCGAGGAAGCUCAAAGAGCGGAAACAAGGAUAAGUAUAAGUGCUUUAAGUGUCACAAGUUGGGACACUUCAAGAGGGAUUGUCCGGAGGAAGAUGAUAGCUCCGCGCAAGUUGUGUCCGAGGAGUAUGGAGAUGCGGGUGCUUUGAUGGUGAGUUGUUGGGAGGAAGGUGAAGGUGAGGGUUCUCACCUUGGAGUUGAUUCCUUGUAGACGGUAUGGUUCGUCUGGAGAGACGUUAAACACUCAACGUCAGCCUGGAGAGGCGGUGGUGAGAAUACUCAUAGUUAGUCUGGAGAGGCGGUGUGAACAAUACUCGUGAUCAACCUUUGAGGUGGAGUGGCAAGGCGGAAGCAUAGUGG